rnacentral:rRNA from 1 species
AGUAACACGUGGGUAACCUACCCAUCAGAGGGGGAUAACACUUGGAAACAGGUGCUAAUACCGCAUAACAGUUUAUGCCGCAUGGCAUAAGAGUGAAAGGCGCUUUCGGGUGUCGCUGAUGGAUGGACCCGCGGUGCAUUAGCUAGUUGGUGAGGUAACGGCUCACCAAGGCCACGAUGCAUAGCCGACCUGAGAGGGUGAUCGGCCACACUGGGACUGAGACACGGCCCAGACUCCUACGGGAGGCAGCAGUAGGGAAUCUUCGGCAAUGGACGAAAGUCUGACCGAGCAACGCCGCGUGAGUGAAGAAGGUUUUCGGAUCGUAAAACUCUGUUGUUAGAGAAGAACAAGGACGUUAGUAACUGAACGUCCCCUGACGGUAUCUAACCAGAAAGCCACGGCUAACUACGUGCCAGCAGCCGCGGUAAUACGUA